AACGAACGCUGGCGGCAGGCCUAACACAUGCAAGUCGAGCGAGGACUUCGGUCCUAGCGGCGGACGGGUGAGUAACGCGUGGGAACGUGCCCUUUGGUUCGGCAUAGCCCCGGGAAACUGGGAGUAAUACCGGAUAAGCCCUACGGGGGAAAGGUUCAUCGCCAAAGGAUCGGCCCGGGUGGGAUUAGGUAGUUGGUGGGGUAAUUGCCUACCAAGCCGACGAUCCAUAGCUGGUUUGAGAGGAUGAUCAGCCACCAUGGGCCUGAGACACGGCCCAGACUCCUACGGGAGGCAGCAGUGGGGAAUCUUAGACAAUGGGGGAAACCCUGAUCUAGCCAUGCCGCGUGAGCGAUGAAGGCCUUAGGGUUGUAGAGCUCUUUCAGUGGGGAAGAUAAUGACUGUACCCACAGAAGAAGCCCCGGCUAACUCCGUGCCAGCAGCCGCGGUAACAC
rnacentral:rRNA from 1 species